CCUGCUCUCCUUCCUACCCUUGGCCCCUGGCGGGAACUGUUCGACUGCAGAGUGGAUGCCCCGAGGACAUAUUUCUCAACAGAUUCUGAAUGGAGAAUCUCUAGUCCCACUUCCACCCCCGGAAAACCCAUCACAAUAUGAACUGAUAGAUGAGGACCAUGAGGACCAUGUACAUGGAUUAACCUGCUCAUCGUGGGCGGGGCCUCCUGGACUCCAGGCUCCACCAUCAAGCCCCCUUCGCCAUCAGGGUGCUCAGAGACACCACUGAACAGAUAACUGAAGACCUGAAGGAAGUCAGAGAGGAUUGCUCUGGAAGCUGAAAGAUAAACAGCAGGGGAGCAAGAGAAGCCCAGAGACCCAUCAGGUGACAGGUGCAGUGACCCUCAGUGCUGGGGGCUUCAACCAAAGUGGCAGCAACGAAAGGAUUCUGGAUGUCGAAGGAAAAGGCAACAUCGUGGCACAAGGGGUUAAGUCUCAGCACUGGAAGCUAUGCACUCACAGCCUGGCUGCACAGCACCAGUUUGAGCCAUGCAAGUUCGAUCCCAGCCGGGGGUGACCCCCAGGGCUCAGAAGACCCCUCCUGUCUCC